UUUUUGAUGUGAGACGGGUGGUUGUGUUGUUUUUGAUGUGAGAUGGUAAAUGGGAGACGGGUGGUUGUGUUGUGUUUGAUGUUAGUUGGUAAAUGUGAGACAGGUGGUUGUGUUGUGUUUGAUGUUAGUUGGUAAAUGUGAGACGGGUGGUUGUGUUGUGUUUGAUGUUAGUUGGUAAAUGUGAGACGGGUGGUUGUGUUGUGUUUGAUGUUAGUUGGUAAAUGUGAGACGGGUGGUUGUGGUGUUUUUGAUGUUAGUUGGUAAAUGUGAGACGGGUGGUUGUGUUGUGUUUGAUGUUUGUUGGUAAAUGUGAGACGGGUGGUUGUGGUGUUUUUGAUGUUAGUUGGUAAAUGUGAGACGGGUGGUUGUGUUGUGUUUGAUGUUUGUUGGUAAAUGUGAGACGGGUGGUUGUGGUGUUUUUGAUGUUAGUUGGUAAAUGUGAGACAGGUGGUUGUGUUGUGUUUGAUGUUAGUUGGUAAAUGUGAGACGGGUGGUUGUGGUGUUUUUGAUGUUAGUUGGUAAAUGUGAGACGGGUGGUUGUGUUGUGUUUGAUGUUAGUUGGUAAAUGUGAGACGGGUGGUCGUGUUGUUUUUGAUGUUAGUUGGUAAAUGUGAGACGGGUGGUUGUGUUGUGUUUGAUGUUAGUUGGUAAAUGUGAGACGGGUGGUUGUGUUGUGUUUGAUGUUAGUUGGUAAAUGUGAGACAGGUGGUUGUGUUGUGUUUGAUGUUAGUUGGUAAAUGUGAGACGGGUGGUUGUGUUGUGUUUGAUGUUAGUAGGUAAAUGUGAGACGGGUGGUUGUGUUGUGUUUGAUGUUAGUUGGUAAAUGUGAGACGGGUGGUUGUGGUGUUUUUGAUGUUAGUUGGUAAAUGUGAGACGGGUGGUUGUGGUGUUUUUGAUUUUAGUUGGUAAAUGUGAGACAGGUGGUUGUGUUGUGUUUGAUGUUAGUUGGUAAAUGUGAGACGGGUGGUUGUGGUGUUUUUGAUGUUAGUUGGUAAAUGUGAGACGGGUGGUUGUGUUGUGUUUGAUGUUAGUUGGUAAAUGUGAGACAGGUGGUUGUGGUGUGUUUGAUGUUAGUUGGUAAAUGUGAGACAGGUGGUUGUGUUGUGUUUGAUGUUAGUUGGUAAAUGUGAGACAGGUGGUUGUGUUGUGUUUGAUGUUAGUUGGUAAAUGUGA